AUUUCUUAACCAUUAUAUAUACGAUGUUCAGUUUCAUUUCAAUACGAUUUCGCAGCCGCUGUCAAUCCAGAUCACAAGCGUUUCUUACAUAUAUGAAAAUCAUGCAUUGUUUUCAUUAAGAUAUCUACUCAUGAUAAUCACCAAGAGUUUUAUGUGUCGAUUUUUUUUUCCUUCAUCAUGCACAUAGAUCUAAAAAUUAGUAAAGAUCCGCCAUAUAUACUUUGGUGUUUCGAAGAUUAUGACGUUCGACUGUCACUCACACUAUACUUUGAUGUGUAUUCUGUUGUCAGCCUAGUAGAAUCAGAUUACUAUGAGUUAGGUGUUCAUAACAUUUCAAGAGUUGGUUUUGUAGGUUUGUCCGAGGCCCCUAGCUUGAAAAGGAUGAAGUGGUUGGCUGAGACGAAUCCUGGGAAAAUGAGGCAAAAGACGAAAGGAAGGCUCCCCUAUAAGUUGUCCAACCUACAACUGAAUUUGCUCAGGUGAUGCCAUCUGCAGUUUAGUGUAUUAGAUAAAUCAUGAAAACAGUGAACAUGAACCUUUGUUAUAACAGAGGCCAACUUGAACUUUAUAUCGGGAUACAUCAAGUAGUUUGAUCGAUUAAAAAAGCCUAAGUACAAAACAUCUACUGGACAAUCUUAUACAUUGGUUUGCUGAUAAAAGUAGCGGAUGUAGUUUUCGUUGGUUACAGGGUGGAUUAAUCUUUGUUUAAAACCUGUUUUAUUUUCUGUCAAGUUAUUUGUAUGAGUAUAAAUAUGUAUCAAAUGUGUAUCUGUAUGUGUUGGUGUAUCAAUGUAUGCAUAUGAAUUUGAAUACUUCAUGAUCCUAUAAACA